UACGAAGGGGGCUAGCGUUGCUCGGAAUCACUGGGCGUAAAGCGCACGUAGGCGGCUUUUUAAGUCAGGGGUGAAAUCCUGGAGCUCAACUCCAGAACUGCCUUUGAUACUGGGAAGCUUGAGUCCGGGAGAGGUGAGUGGAACUCCGAGUGUAGAGGUGAAAUUCGUAGAUAUUCGGAAGAACACCAGUGGCGAAGGCGGCUCACUGGCCCGGUACUGACGCUGAGGUGCAAAAGCGUGGGGAGCAAACAGG
rnacentral:rRNA from 1 species